GACGUAGGGGGCGAGCGUUGUCCGGAAUUACUGGGCGUAAAGAGCACGUAGGCGGGUGAUUAAGUCAGAUGUGAAAGACCGGGGCCCAACUCCGGGGUUGCAUUUGAAACUGGUCAUCUUGAGGGCAGGAGAGGGCAGUAGAAUUCCUGGUGUAGCGGUGAAAUGCGUAGAAAUCAGGAGGAAUACCGGUGGCGAAGGCGGCUGCCUGGACUGACCCUGACGCUGAGGUGCGAAAGCGUGGGGAG
rnacentral:rRNA from 1 species